rfam:Hordeum vulgare subsp. vulgare, WGS project CAJW01000000 data, contig: morex_contig_48620
AAAAUACUCCCUCCGCCCGGAAAUACUUGUCCUAGGAAUGAAUGAAUCUAGACUUAUCUUAAUUAUAGAUACAUCAAAUAUAUCCAAUUUUUAGGACAAAUAUUUUCGGACGGAGGGAGUACUAU